rnacentral:rRNA from 1 species
GUCGCGCGACGGACUUCGGUUACGGAGCGGCGAACGGGUGAGUACACGUGAGGAAUCUACCCCUUUGUUCCGGAUAAUUGGCCGAAAGGCCUUGUAAUACGGGCGAGGUUCGGGAAAUGGCAUCUGUUUGCGAACGAACGAGCAAUCGGCACAGGGAUGACCUCGCGGCCUAUCAGGUAGUUGGUGGGGUAAUGGCCUACCAAGCCUUCGACGGGUAGCUGGUCUGAGAGGAUGGUCAGCCACAUUGGGACGUGAGACACUGCCCAGACUCCUACGGGAGGCUGCAGUCGAGAAUCUUGGGCAAUGCACGAAAGUGUGACCCAGCGACGCCGCGUGAAGGAUGAAGGCCCUCCGGGUUGUAAACUUCUUUUACGGGAGAAGAAUCAAUGACGGUACCCCGUGAAUAAGCCACGGCUAACUACGUGCCAGCAGCCGCGGUAAUACGUAGGUGGCAAGCGUUGUCCGGAUUUACUGGGCGUAAAGCGAACGCAGGCGGAUGGUUAAGUAAGAAGUGAAAGGUCGGAGCUCAACUCCAACACUGCUUCUUAUACUGGCCGUCUUGAGUUCCGGAGAGGAAAGCGGAAAUUGCACGUGUAGCGG